rnacentral:lncRNA from 1 species
AGGGCAUAGAUUUUUUCAUUCUAUCAACCCACAAAGAGUAUAGCCAGCAUACUGAAAUGCACAUUGGUUGAAGGUUAAGGACUUCUACAACUAUCUCUGCUCAGCUGAAAGCGGAUAAUGAACAAGAACAUCAAUUUGUGCAAUAAGCUUUUGACUAGGAGAUAAAGUCUUGGAAUCAGCUUUGUGGGGGCAGAACGAAAAAGAUGGAUUUGAUGUCGUGAAAUGGCAAUUCUAAAACUCAGGAGAUAUGUUGGUGUUUCUGAGCUCUUACUCCAGUGUCCACUUGUCCAUAGAAUCACCUUUCACUUCUGGGGUCAGAGGACAGCUCCUGGAAUGAUCUCUCAUCUUACGGCAAAAAGGUUUGGUCCCCUUCACCUUAUGAUGUGACUGAAGCUUCCGGAGACCAACCAGGAGCAGAUGCUUGUGUCAUGCUACCUGUACAGCCUGCAGAACCAUGAGCCAAAGUAAAUCUCAUUUUUUAUAAAUUACCCAGUCUCAGACAUUCUUUAUAGUGAUGAAAAUGGA